AAGGAAAUGGUCCCACUGAGGCCCAAGACUUGACAGUGGAAGUCUUGCCAAUUUAAAGUCUAAUGAAGAUUGUGAAUUAUUGACUGGCACAAGUAGAGCUUCCUGCACUCAAUGAUGGACAACUGAAGGCCUGUGCUAGCACUCUGUUUGGUACUUAGGAGAGCCCUUGGAAACCACCUGCUCUUGUUUGAAUGUGUUCCCUCCAAAAUUCAGAUGUUGAAACUUAAUGGCCAAUGUGAUAGUAUUAAGAGGUGGGGCCUUUAAAGGGUGAUUAGACCAUAAGGGCUCCUCCCUCAUGAGUGAGAUUAAGGCCCCUAUAAAGGAAGCUUCCUGCAGCAUUCAGGCAUCUUGCCCUUCUGCCUUCCACCAAGUAAAGAUAGAGCAUCCCUCCCAUCUGGAGGACACAGAGCAAGGUACCGUCUUGGAAGCAGAGAGCAGCCCCCACAAGACACCAAACCUGCCAGUGCCUUGAUCUUAGACUUCCCAGCCUCCAGAACUGGAACAAGGCUGUGGGAAUGCUGGAGAUGCUGCUUCCGGAAAUGUAUGAAAUAUAGGUCCAUGCAGUGAAUGCUGUCAUGAGCCUCCAAGAUCCAUCUUGGGGACUGAAGGUCUUCUCUCCCUCCAUGAAGCAGCCUGAACCCAAUGACCAGCCCAUAUAGAAGUAUAAAGAUUCAAGAGAACAAUUGUACAACAUGGUGACUUUCAUUAAUAACAAUCUAUUGGAGUCUUGAAAAUCGCUAAGAGAGUAGAUUUUAAGUGUUCUUACCACAAAAAAUGGUAAGUACGUGAGGUAAUGCAUAUGUUAAAUAGCUCGAUUUAGCCCCUCCACAAUGUAUACAUAUUUCAAAAUAUCAUGUUGUACACAAGAAAUGUAUAAAAUUUUUAUUUGUGAAUGAAAAAAGUAAUAAAUACAACUGUGAGUGCUGCAAAUAAAGAAGACGGUAUAACUAAUUUAGGAGGGUGUCAGAGAGUCAUCUUCCAAAGUAAAAUAUGAACAGAUACUAUUUCAAACUAAAAUAUUCACAUAUAGCAGUAUUAGCAUUUUUUUUAGUUAAUAAUUUUUUUAAAGCCAGAAGGAUUGUAAGUCAUUGCCUCAUAGUAGCUGGCAAUUGGUGCAGUGGUCAUAGCCAGGAUCUGUUGUUUGUAGUAACCCUAGGAUAACAAUUGAGAGUUUUUCAUCAUGGUAACUUCAGUAAAAAUGAAGACUAGAUUAAAACAACAACAAAAAAAGUAUAAAGACCCAACAUGCUCCACAGAAUCGGUUGAGAUCUUUGAUAAGACUGCAGCACUGCUUGACUUUUCCCUCUGCCAAUCCUGCUUCCAUUCCUUCCCCUCCUAUUGGUAUAGAUCCCAAAAGGACUCCUAAUAAACCUCUGCAAGCCAACCUUCAUCUUGGAUUUUGUUUCCUACUCCCCUGCAACAGAAAUUCAUUUUGCUCCUGCAGUAAACUACAUUCUCCAAUCUAGCACUUAUUUAUACUAAGAUGAGAUUUGGCCUACAGCUUCCUUACUCUCUGCCUUAUUUCUGAUUCAGAAUAUGGACAGGGAAUACGGGCACUAUUUAUCGGACUGCUUCAAAAUCCCAAUGGCCAUUCUCAUUAGGAAAUCCAGGAAAGAUCAGUGCAUAGAGGCAGGCAGGGUACAAUAGUGUCAUUAC
rnacentral:lncRNA from 10 species